AGUCGAGCGAGCGGAACUAAAGAUUUACUUCGGUAAUGACGUUAGGAAAGCGAGCGGCGGAUGGGUGAGUAACACGUGGGGAACCUGCCCCAUAGUCUGGGAUACCACUUGGAAACAGGUGCUAAUACCGGAUAAGAAAGCAGAUCGCAUGAUCAGCUUUUAAAAGGCGGCGUAAGCUGUCGCUAUGGGAUGGCCCCGCGGUGCAUUAGCUAGUUGGUAAGGUAAAGGCUUACCAAGGCGAUGAUGCAUAGCCGAGUUGAGAGACUGAUCGGCCACAUUGGGACUGAGACACGGCCCAAACUCCUACGGGAGGCAGCAGUAGGGAAUCUUCCACAAUGGACGCAAGUCUGAUGGAGCAACGCCGCGUGAGUGAAGAAGGUUUUCGGAUCGUAAAGCUCUGUUGUUGGUGAAGAAGGAUAGAGGCAGUAACUGGCCUUUAUUUGACGGUAAUCAACCAGAAAGUCACGGCUAACUACGUGCCAGCAGCCGCGGUAAUACGUAGGUGGCAAGCGUUGUCCGGAUUUAUUGGGCGUAAAGCGAGCGCAGGCGGAAGAAUAAGUCUGAUGUGAAAGCCCUCGGCUUAACCGAGGAACUGCAUCGGAAACUGUUUUUCUUGAGUGCAGAAGAGGAGAGUGGAACUCCAUGUGUAGCGGUGGAAUGCGUAGAUAUAUGGGAGAACACCAGUGGCGAAGGCGGCUCUCUGGUCUGCAACUGACGCUGAGGCUCGAAAGCAUGGGUAGUGAACAGGAUUAGAUACCCUGGUAGUCCAUGCCGUANACGAUGAGUGCUAAGUGUUGGGAGGUUUCCGCCUCUCAGUGCUGCAGCUAACGCAUUAAGC
rnacentral:rRNA from 1 species